rnacentral:rRNA from 1 species
UACAGAGGGUGCGAGCGUUGUCCGGAAUCACUGGGCGUAAAGGGCGCGUAGGCUGCUUUUCAAGCGUGCGGUGAAAGCUCGGGGCUUAACUCCGAGUCUGCCGUGCGAACUGGGAGGCUUGAGUCUGGUAGAGGUCGAUGGAAUUCCGGGUGUAGCGGUGGAAUGCGUAGAGAUCCGGAAGAACACCGGUGGCGAAGGCGGUCGACUGGGCCAGAACUGACGCUGAGGCGCGACAGCGUGGGGAGCAAACAGG